CCUAUGGGUUUCUAGCUUCCUUCUUCAUCAACAACAACCAAUGAUUUGUUGGUAAAUUAGAAAGGUAUGAUUAUGUGAGAAAUAGAAUAAUUAGACAAAUGUAGGGUUUUCAUUUUGUUGUUGAUAAUGAAAAUGGGAUAAUUUGGGGUUAGGGUUUUAUUUUUGUUGGUGUUCUAUUUUUUUGUCUUUCCCCUAUUAUAUGUUCCAUUUAGUUUGUUCUACUUACUAAACUUUAAGUUGCUGCAUUAGAAAAAAUGUUAUGUACUAUUAUAAUUUAUCCUUUCACUUUCCAUCUUUUUUUUUAUUCAUAUGAAGCUUUGGUAGCAUGUGAGGAAAAGUUAAAUGAGAUCACAAACCUUACAAAUGAAACAGGGGAAGCCAUCUUUUGACAUAACAUAGUACUUGGAUUUCAUGUCAAAGGGAGGCGUGGUAAUUGACAAAUAAAUCUUUAAUUAAGGUUUCUUUUUGUUUUUUUUCAUAAUUGUUAUAGAAUAUUAAUUUGAAGAAUUCAAAUGAAGAUAUUGUUACUCGUGGUAAGAUUUUUUUUAUCUUCAUGGGGUUUUGUUAUAAUAUAUUUUUGAGUUUUUGAUCUGACAUUUUUGUAGAUAUUGUGUUUAUGCUAGAACAACUGUUAUCUAGAUUGUCUUUGUUGAUGUUACAGGUGAAGGUGGAAAAUAGAGCUUGAAAAGUGGAUGUAAGCUUCAAACUCUCUCACACCAGUUUUUAAGAAACGACGAGGAUGAGAACUACUACACUUUCAAAAUCCAGAAGAAUCCGCAAGGGGAGUUCGCUUCGUGGAGUAUCAGUUGAAUGGAAGUCCAACUCCUGAUUUUCCAUGUCAAUGAAAAUAUUGAGAAUAUUAAUGAUCAUUAUUGGACAUUAUGAGCAGAAGAGAUUUUGGCACUGUGAUGUAGGGUGGGACUGACACUGUAUUUUCUUCCCAUGAAGCAUUUGUGACUAACCUAUUUUUAAAACACUGAUAUUAUGCAUAAUGUCUCAUUUUAAAAUGAAUGUUGGCUUUCAGUAUGUGAUGGUUUCAAAAUUAAAAGUUUCUCUUUUUUUUUUAAACUUUGCACUCAAGGUUUUGUUGACAUCAUCUUCUCUAUGCUGAA